rnacentral:rRNA from 1 species
CGUGUAGGCGGCCAGGUAGGUCCGUUGUGAAAACUCGAGGCUCAACCUCGAGACGCCGGCGGAAACCCUUUGGCUAGAGUCCGGAAGAGGAGAGUGGAAUUCCUGGUGUAGCGGUGAAAUGCGCAGAUAUCAGGAAGAACACCCGUGGCGAAGGCGGCUCUCUGGGACGGUACUGACGCUGAGACGCGAAAGCGUGGGGGAGAAACA